CCGACACAGGUGGUCAGGUAGAGAAUACCAAGGCGCUUGAGAGAACUCGGGUGAAGGAACUAGGCAAAAUGGUGCCGUAACUUCGGGAGAAGGCACGCUGACACGUAGGUGAAGUGAUUUACUCAUGGAGCUGAAGUCAGUCGAAGAUACCAGCUGGCUGCAACUGUUUAUUAAAAACACAGCACUGUGCAAACACGAAAGUGGACGUAUACGGUGUGACGCCUGCCCGGUGCCGGAAGGUUAAUUGAUGGGGUCAGCGCAAGCGAAGCUCCUGAUCGAAGCCCCGGUAAACGGCGGCCGUAACUAUAACGGUCCUAAGGUAGCGAAAUUCCUUGUCGGGUAAGUUCCGACCUGCACGAAUGGCGUAAUGAUGGCCAGGCUGUCUCCACCCGAGACUCAGUGAAAUUGAACUCGCUGUGAAGAUGCAGUGUACCCGCGGCAAGACGGAAAGACCCCGUGAACCUUUACUAUAGCUUGACACUGAACAUUGAGCCUUGAUGUGUAGGAUAGGUGGGAGGCUUUGAAGUGUGGACGCCAGUCUGCAUGGAGCCGACCUUGAAAUACCACCCUUUAAUGUUUGAUGUUCUAACGUGGACCCGUGAUCCGGGUUGCGGACAGUGUCUGGUGGGUAGUUUGACUGGGGCGGUCUCCUCCUAAAGAGUAACGGAGGAGCACGAAGGUUGGCUAAUCCUGGUCGGACAUCAGGAGGUUAGUGCAAUGGCAUAAGCCAGCUUGACUGCGAGCGUGACGGCGCGAGCAGGUGCGAAAGCAGGUCAUAGUGAUCCGGUGGUUCUGAAUGGAAGGGCCAUCGCUCAACGGAUAAAAGGUACUCCGGGGAUAACAGGCUGAUACCGCCCAAGAGUUCAUAUCGACGGCGGUGUUUGGCACCUCGAUGUCGGCUCAUCACAUCCUGGGGCUGAAGUAGGUCCCAAGGGUAUGGCUGUUCGCCAUUUAAAGUGGUACGCGAGCUGGGUUUAGAACGUCGUGAGACAGUUCGGUCCCUAUCUGCCGUGGGCGCUGGAGAACUGAGGGGGGCUGCUCCUAGUACGAGAGGACCGGAGUGGACGCAUCACUGGUGUUCGGGUUGUCAUGCCAAUGGCACUGCCCGGUAGCUAAAUGCGGAAGAGAUAAGUGCUGAAAGCAUCUAAGCACGAAACUUGCCCCGAGAUGAGUUCUCCCUGAGACUUUAGGUCUCCUGAAGGAACGUUGAAGACGACGACGUUGAUAGGCCGGGUGUGUAAGCGCAGCGAUGCGUUGAGCUAACCGGUACUAAUGAACCGUGAGGCUUAACCUU
rnacentral:rRNA from 1 species